CUCCUCCCCAGCUCCUGGCGAGGGGCCUGCUGUGACUGGACUGACUGCUUGGAACCAGGCCUGAUUUUGAGCGCCUUCCUGGACUUCGGCCAGAACUGUGCUCUGCUGGCGGACUGGACGCACGCAGAUAUCCCAGGAGCCUGGAUGGAUUCGAGCAGGUCCUGCCCUUCGACUGUGCUCACUGGCCUACCCUGCUGCCUCAGGCCAGCUUCUGCAGACAGGAAACCUCUGCCUCCUGAAUCUCAGCGAUGAUCUCUCUCCAGCCAGAACGCCUGCAGCAAUAAAAGUAACCAUACCACACACCUAGGAAUAGCUUCUGUCGGAUGUGGCCGGUCUCUAAUUGUUUAUUGCACCCUAACUCCUGGAAAGCAGAGGCUGGUACUUGCAGCGUGCAUCACAAUUACUUAGCCUGACCUAUUGCUUAAAGGACCACGGGAGAACGAAGGGGAGGAGGAAGGAAGAAAAACGAACAUUUAUUGAGUGCCUAGCAGGAAUGAAGACUUUCAAAUUCUUCAGCGAUCACACAGGAGAUUGGAAGACCAAAUACAGCUUUUUAAGUUUAUCUUAGAAAAUCUGAACAUUUCAUGAAAUUAUUGAGACAU